AAAAUUGGACAAUGGGCGAAAGCCUGAUCCAGCCAUGCUGCGUGUGUGAAGAAGGUCCUCGGAGUGUAAAGAACUCUAUGUUGGGAGGAAGGGCAGUAAGUUAAUACCUUGCUGUUUGGACGUCACCGACAGAAUAAGCACCGGCUAACUUCGUGCCAGCAGCCGCGGUAAUACGAAAGGUGCAAGCGCUAAUCGGAAUUACUGGGGGUAAAGGGAGCGUAGGGGGGUUGUUAAGUUGGAAGUGAAAGCCCCGGGCUCAACCAGGGACCUGGUUUCAAAACUGGCAAGCUAGAGUAAGGGAGAGGGGGGUGGAAUUUCCUGGUUAGCGGUUAAAUGCAUAGAUAUAGGAAGGAACACCAGUUGCGAAGGCAGCCACCUGGGCUUAUACUAACACUGAGGGGAGAAAGCGUGGGGAGCAAAC
rnacentral:rRNA from 1 species